AUUGAACGCUGGCGGCAGGCCUAACACAUGCAAGUCGAGCGAGCGGCGGACGGGUGAGUAAUGGCUGGGAAACUGCUUGAGGGAGGUGGAUAACUACUGGAAACGGUAACAACUACCGCAUACCAUCAGAUGUGCCCAGAUGGUAUUAGCUAGUAGGGGGGGUAACGGCCCACCAAGGCGACGAUCCCUAACUGGUCUGAGAGGAUGACCAGUCACACUGGAACUGAGACACGGGCCAGACUCCUACGGGAGGCAGCAGUGGGGAAUAUUGCACAAUGGGCGCAAGCCUGAUGCAGCCAUGCCGCGUGUAUGAAGAAGGCCUUCGGGUUGUAAAGUACUUUCAGCGGGGAGGCGUUACCCGCAGAAGAAGCACCGGCUAACUCCGUGCCAGCCGCCGCGGUAAUAC
rnacentral:rRNA from 1 species